ensembl:lncRNA Novel transcript, antisense to HRH1
GGUGGCUCAUGCCUGUAAUCCCAGCACUUGGGAGACUGAGGCAUGUGAGUCGCCUGAACCCGGGAGGCAGAGGUUGAAGUGAGCCGAGAUCGUGCCACUGCACUCCAGCCUGGGCGACAGAGCGAGACUCCGUCUCAAAAGUAAGUAACAAGAGGAUUCAGAAUCUGAGAGAUACUGCUUAAAAGGAAAAUGUCCUGGAGGGAUGCCAAACUGCACUCUCAAAGGUUUCGGCUGGAUGUGUGAUAUUGAUGGGGAAACCCAUUUCAGUGUCUCUAAGAAGGGGGUAGUGCUCCUCUUUCCAGGAUGUCUCUGGGGAAUCUAGAGCACCCCAAAGUGUGGUAUGCAUAGAAACAUUGCUGCUUAAGGUCUGAAUAUUUGUUCCUCAUCAAUUCAUGUGUUGAAAUUCUAACCUCUCCUGAAUGGGAUUAGUGCUCUUACACGAGAGGCCUGACAGAGACUCCUCACCCUUCCCACCAUGCGAAGACACAGUGAGAAGGCUCAGUCUAUGAACCAAAAUGUUGACUGUCACCAUUUACUCAAUCUGCUGUCGCCUUGAGCUUGGACUUCCCAGCCUCCAGAACUGUGAGAAAUAAAUUUCUGUUGCUUAUAAGACAA